UAAAUACUUCCUCCGUCCUAAAAUUCUUGUCUUAGAUUUGUCUAAAUACGGAUGUAUCAAAUCACAUUUUAGUAUUAGAUACAUCCAUAUCUAUACAAAUCUAAGACAAAAUUUUUGGGACGGAGAGAGUACUUA
rnacentral:pre_miRNA from 1 species